rnacentral:rRNA from 1 species
GAUGAACGCUGGCGGCGUGCUUAACACAUGCAAGUCGAACGGAAAGGCCCAAGCUUGCUUGGGUACUCGAGUGGCGAACGGGUGAGUAACACGUGGGUGAUCUGCCCCGCACUUCGGGAUAAGCCUGGGAAACUGGGUCUAAUACCGGAUAGGACAGUGGUUCGGAUGCCAUUGUGGAAAGUUUUUUCGGUGUGGGAUGAGCUCGCGGCCUAUCAGCUUGUUGGUGGGGUAAUGGCCUACCAAGGCGUCGACGGGUAGCCGGCCUGAGAGGGUGUACGGCCACAUUGGGACUGAGAUACGGCCCAGACUCCUACGGGAGGCAGCAGUGGGGAAUAUUGCACAAUGGGCGCAAGCCUGAUGCAGCGACGCCGCGUGGGGGAUGACGGCCUUCGGGUUGUAAACUCCUUUCGCUAGGGACGAAGCGUUAUGUGACGGUACCUAGAGAAGAAGCACCGGCUAACUAC